GACGAACGCUGGCGGCGUGCUUAACACAUGCAAGUCGAACGGAAAGGCCCUGCUUUUGUGGGGUGCUCGAGUGGCGAACGGGUGAGUAACACGUGAGUAACCUGCCCUUGACCUUGGGAUAACUUCAGGAAACUGGGGCUAAUACCGGAUAGGAGCUCCUGCUGCAUGGUGGGGGUUGGAAAGUUUCGGCGGUUGGGGAUGGACUCGCGGCUUAUCAGCUUGUUGGUGGGGUAGUGGCUUACCAAGGCUUAGACGGGUAGCCGGCCUGAGAGGGUGACCGGCCACAUUGGGACUGAGAUACGGCCCAGACUCCUACGGGAGGCAGCAGUGGGGAAUAUUGCACAAUGGGCGGAAGCCUGAUGCAGCAACGCCGCGUGCGGGAUGACGGCCUUCGGGUUGUAAACCGCUUUCGCCUGUGACGAAGCGUGAGUGACGGUAAUGGGUAAAGAAGCACCGGCUAACUACGUG
rnacentral:rRNA from 1 species